rnacentral:rRNA from 1 species
GAUAAACGCUGGCGGCGUGCCUAAAACAUGCAAGUCGAACGGCCCAUUUCGGUGGGUAGUGGCGGACGGCUGAGUAACACGUGGGUGACCUGCCCUCGAGCGGGGGAUAACUGCCCGAAA